rnacentral:rRNA from 1 species
GAUGAACGCUGGCGGCGUGCUUAACACGUGCAAGUCGAACGAGAAGUGAAGACGGAAACCUUCGGGCGGAAGGCUUUAUUUCGAGUGGCGGACGGGUGAGUAACGCGUGGGUAACCUGCCUCAUACAGGGGGAUAACAGUUGGAAACGACUGUUAAUACCGCAUAAGACCACAGCACCGCAUGGUGCGGGGGUAAAAACUCCGGUGGUAUGAGAUGGACCCGCGUUCGAUUAGCCAGUUGGCGGGGUAACGGCCCACCAAAGCGACGAUCGAUAGCCGAUCUGAGAGGAUGACCGGCCACAUUGGGACUGAGACACGGCCCAAACUCCUACGGGAGGCAGCAGUGGGGAAUAUUGCACAAUGGGGGAAACCCUGAUGCAGCGACGCCGCGUGAGUGAAGAAGUAUUUCGGUAUGUAAAGCUCUAUCAGCAGGGAAGAAAAUGACGGUACCUGAGUAAGAAGCCCCGGCUAACUACGUG